GCGCGCGUAGCUCAGUUGGAUAGAGCGUCUGCCUCCGGAGCAGAAGGUCGCAGGUUCGAGUCCUGCCGCGCGCA
rnacentral:tRNA from 1 species